UGCAGUCGAACGCGUGUAGCAAUACACGAGUGGCGCACGGGUGAGUAACACGUGGAUAUCUGCCUUUUGGUUCGGAAUAACCCUGGGAAACUAGGGCUAAUACCGGAUGGUUCCUACGGGAUAAAGAUUUAUCGCCAAAAGAUGAGUCCGCGUCCGAUUAGCUAGUUGGUGAGGUAACGGCUCACCAAGGCGACGAUCGGUAGCUGGUCUGAGAGGACGAUCAGCCACACUGGGANNNGANNCNCGGCCCANACUCCUACGGGAGGCAGCAGUGGGGAAUAUUGGACAAUGGGGGCAACCCUGAUCCAGCCAUGCCGCGUGAGUGAUGAAGGCCUUCGGGUUGUAAAGCUCUUUUGGCGGGGACGAUGAUGACGGUACCCGCAGAAUAAGCCCCGGCUAACUUCGUGCCAGCAGCCGCGGUAAGACGAAGGGGGCUAGCGUUGUUCGGAAUUACUGGGCGUAAAGCGCGUGUAGGCGGUUGCCAUAGUCAGGUGUGAAAGCCUUGAGCUUAACUCAAGAAAUGCACUUGAUACUGGGCGACUAGAGGACCGGAGAGGAUAGUGGAAUUCCCAGUGUAGUGGUGAAAUACGUAGAGAUUGGGAAGAACACCAGUGGCGAANGCGGCUAUCUGGACGGUUUCUGACGCUAAGACGCGAAAGCGUGGGGAGCAAACAGGAUUAGAUACCCUGGUAGUCCACGCCGUAAACGAUGGGUGCUAGACGUUGGCGAGCUUGCUCGUCAGUGUCGCAGCUAACGCGUUAAGCACCCCGCCUGGGGAGUACGGCCGCNAGGUUGAAACUCAAANGAAUUGACGGGGGCCCGCACAAGCGGUGGAGCAUGUGGUUCAAUUCGACGCAACGCGAAGAANNUUACCAGCCCNUGACAUGUGACUCNNCNGCUNCNNANANGGANCCUUCNNUUCGGCNGNAGUCANNCNNNGCNGCAUGGNUGNNGUCAGCUCNUGUC
rnacentral:rRNA from 1 species